rnacentral:rRNA from 1 species
UACGUAGGCAGCGAGCGUUGUUCGGAGUUACUGGGCGUAAAGGGUGUGUAGGCGGUUGCUUAAGUUUGGUGUGAAAUCUCCCGGCUCAACUGGGAGGGUGCGCCGAAUACUGAAUGACUAGAGUGCGGGAGAGGAAAGUGGAGUUCCUGGUGUAGCGGUGAAAUGCGUAGAUAUCAGGAGGAACACCGGUGGUGUAGACGGCUUUCUGGACCGUAACUGACGCUGAGACACGAAAGCGUGGGUAGCAAACAGG